rnacentral:rRNA from 1 species
GACGAACGCUGGCGGCGUGCCUAAUACAUGCAAGUCGAACGCAGUGGGGACGGGUGAGUAACACGUGGGUAACCUCCCCACAGAGGGGAUAACACUUGGAAACAGGUGCUAAACCGAUACUGAUGGAUGGACCCGCGGUGCAUUAGCUAGUUGGUGAGGGAACGGCCCACCAAGGCCACGCUGCAUAGCCGACCGGAGAGGGUGAUCGUCCACACUGGGACUGAGACACGGCCCAGACUCCUACGGGAGGCAGCAGUAGGGAAGCUUCGGCAAUGGACGAAAGUCUGACCGAGCAACGCCGCGUGAGUGAAGAAGGUUUUCGGAUCGUAAAACUCUGUUGUUAGAGAAGCGGUAUCUAACCAGAAAGCCACGGCUAACUACGUGCCAGCAGCCGCGGUAAUUC